AUGCAUUCUGCCAGCAACAGCAAAACAAGGGGAAAAAACACCAACCAAUGCGUUUCUCCAUCAUUCCUCCAGUCGUGCUGCAGCUGUUCGUGCUCCUCGUCUUGGCCUCUCCUGCCACCACAUGCACCGAGCAGGAGAAGCGCAACCUCCUUGGUUUCCUUGCCGGGCUGUCGCAAGAUGGCGGCCUCGCCACAUUGUGGCGUGACAACGGCACGGACUGCUGCGAGUGGGAAGGCAUCACCUGCAAUGAAGACGGAGCUGUUACUGAGGUCUCCCUGGCAUCUAGAGGACUUGAAGGGCGCAUCGCGCCAUCCCUUGCCGACCUCACCAGCCUGCAGCGUGUCAACCUCUCAUACAACUCCUUCUCUGGUGUCCUUCCUCCGGAGCUCAUGUCCUCUGGAAGCAUCAUUGUCCUCGACGUCAGCUUCAGCCAGCUCAACGGACCGCUGCCCGAGCUGCCAUCUUUAG
rnacentral:rRNA from 1 species